UGCAUUCACGACUGUAAGUCGCUCUGGAUAAGAGUGUCUGCUAAAUGACUCAAA
rfam:Salmo salar isolate Sally breed double haploid chromosome ssa08, whole genome shotgun sequence.